GCGGAGAAGAGAAGCGUCCACUGACAUGCCUGCCUCUCAAAAACCCAACCACACGACGCGGCAAAAAAGGGAUAAACCCCAAAAUUCUUCCUGUUCUACCCAAUUCCCCGAAUCAUUUUUCUAUGCUUUCCUUCUAAUUUCUUCCUUUAUCCUUUUGCUUUCCUCCUAAUUACGCUAUCUAAUCUCAUCGGACUUCGAGAAUUUUGCGAUGGUGAAAUCCGCGGGGGAGCGGCAGGGAUCUUCGGUGGCGCCUUUUCUGAAGAAAUUGUACGAGAUGGUCGACGAUGAGGCAACCAAUUCCAUUAUCUCGUGGAGUCCGAGGGAUGAUAGCUUUACGAUUUUGGACAUGACUCAUUUCUCUGUCCACUUGCUUCCUAAGUACUUUAAGCACAGUAAUUUCUCUAGCUUUAUGCGGCAGCUUAACAUCUAUGGUUUUCGGAAAAUUGAGACAGAUUGCUGGGAAUUUGCAACUGAUGGAUUCGUUAAAGGACAAAAACAUCUGUUGAAGAACAUCUACCGAAGGAAAAACAUUCAGGGCACAGAUCAGCGUAAAGCGUCACAGCCCCAAGACAAUUCUGAGGGACAAGGUGAACUACAUGAUUAUACAGGGCUGUGGAAGGAAGUUGAGAAUCUUAAAAUAGAUAAAAAUGCUGUAAUGCAGGAAUUGGUUAAACUUAGGCAGCAGCAGGAAACUUCAGAGAACAAGAUGCUCCUAUUGAGAGACCGCCUUCAAGGUAUGGAAAAGAAUCAACAGCAGAUGCUAUCAUUCUUAGUAAUGGCAGUGCAAAGCCCUGGAUUUUUGGUUCAGUUUCUUCAACCAAAAGAGAAGAAUUGGCGCAUGGCUGAUGCUGGCAAUAUGUUAGAACAAAUUCCAGAUGAUAAUCAAGUACCUUCAAAUGGUUUGAUAGUCAGGUAUCAACGUCCAAUAGAUGAACUGCCAGCACCUCUACUUCCUCCAGUGUCGGGUCUGGGGAAACAACAAGAAUCUGAUCCAUUCCCUGAUGGAAUGAAGGACUUUUUCCUUAAUUCCGACUUCAUGAAAGUACUUAUGGAUGAAAAGUUAGACAAUCACAGCCAAUUUGUUCUACCAGAUGUACAGGAUGUCGCAUGGGAGCAGCUUCUUUUAGCGAGCACUGUUUCUUGUAAUUCAGAUAAUGUUAGAAAAGUUGACGACGAACGGGAGCCUAUGGACCAUGAGGACCAUGAACUGGAUAUGGAAACAAUUGAUACUCGAACUCAUGAAGAGAAUCUGCAAGAUUUCGAACUUCUAAUCAAACAAAUGGAGAAAGGUGAAAAUUUCGGGUUGCAACCAAGGUUGGAUGAAUCGUAUAUUGAGAAAUCAAAUACUGUUAAUCUUAUGGAACUUAUGGCAUCUGAUCAAGAAAUCCUAUAUGAAACACAGCCGAAGAUGCAAGGCCAUUAAAAGAAUUAGAUGCUUUUUAGGCGGAUUUAUGUUUCUUCAUGGAUUUAAAUCUCAAAGAUCAGUAUAAGUUUCUUUUGUCUUCACCAUCCAUACCAAGUACCCAUUGGUUGGCUAUGAAGUUAUGGUGAUAAGGCUGCUGCUGCUAUUUCAAUGUCUUGAGCAGAGUAUUGAAUUUCAAACAGGUUUAGGAAUUUCGGCCAUCUUUUUGUUGGUGAUAACCUCAAGACUAUAGCAACUAGAUCCUCAGAAAAUGAAAUAUACAAUCCGAAAUGUUACUGAAAAAUUGUACAUCACAUCACCUAAGUCAUGAACCUCAUGGGACUUCAAAAUUGGCACAUCGCAAAAUGCCAUAAUAUGGGUGGUCAAGUGAGUAGCACAGUCACGUCGCCUUUUAAGACCGGGAAUACAAUAUCCAAAGCGAAAAUAAUGGUUUGUAUACACGACACUGGUAGCACGUGCCUCUAAUCCAAGGAGAAUGCUCCAUUGCAGUACCUGUAGAGCCCAAAUACAAAAUAACUUCUCAGUUUGUAGGCAAAGAUAAAGAGAUUUUUCAUCUUUUUUGGCAAAAAUCCUCUUUGUGCAACUUCUUGACAUAGGCUAAGUAAACUUUUAUGUAACUACUCUCUUUGCAAUGUUCUGACCAAGCUCGUUUGCCUUAGGGGUGGCUCCAGUAUUUUCAUCAAUCUUAUGACAUAUUCCAUUUCUCUUAGUAAAAUAAGGGCCCUUUCAUCGUCCGUCAAUCAAUAGAAAAUGACUUCAAUUAUUCUCA